rfam:Arabis alpina cultivar Pajares Aa.chr3_contig_4038, whole genome shotgun sequence.
AUCCCAUGGUGAGGACAAGCUCUUCUAUAUCCUUUCAUAUGCUCCCACGCGUCAUACCAACUCUCUUCUUUGCCUUGCUUAAAUCUAUUUAUAUCGUUCCUUAUCUU